AAAGAAGUCAUCUAAGAAGAAGAAAAAAAUUGCUGUUAAGGAAGAAGAUGAACCAGAACAAGCUAGCCAAGCGGUUAACCCUGAAGAAGAAGCUGAUGAUGAUGAAAGCAAAAAGCAGCAAAGAGAUGUACCAGAAACUUCUAAGAAUAAAACCAAGAAGAAAAAGGGUGGUCGUACAGUUCAAGAAGAUGAGGAUGAGAUUGACAAGAUUCUAGCAGAACUUGGUGAAGAAGCUGCUCCUGUACCGUCUGAAGAGAAAGUACAUGCUCAGCUGGAGUCAAAAGAUAAUAAAUCUAAGAAGAAAAAGGGUGGCAGAAUGGCUCAAGAGGAGGAUGACAUUGACAAAAUUCUGGCAGAAAUUGGUGAAGGGCCACCAGCUACAUCUGCACCUACUCCUUCUCUUGCACAAGAAGUGAAAGGCCAAUUGCAGCCUCAACUAGGUGAUGCUGCUGCUGAGAAGGAGGCAACUGAAGAAGGAGCUAUGGAGUCUGCUGCUG
rnacentral:misc_RNA from 1 species